GAUGAACGCUGGCGGCGUGCCUAAUACAUGCAAGUCGAGCGAACAGACGAGGAGCUUGCUCCUCUGACGUUAGCGGCGGACGGGUGAGUAACACGUGGAUAACCUACCUAUAAGACUGGGAUAACUUCGGGAAACCGGAGCUAAUACCGGAUAAUAUAUUGAACCGCAUGGUUCAAUAGUGAAAGACGGUUUUGCUGUCACUUAUAGAUGGAUCCGCGCCGCAUUAGCUAGUUGGUAAGGUAACGGCUUACCAAGGCGACGAUGCGUAGCCGACCUGAGAGGGUGAUCGGCCACACUGGAACUGAGACACGGUCCAGACUCCUACGGGAGGCAGCAGUAGGGAAUCUUCCGCAAUGGGCGAAAGCCUGACGGAGCAACGCCGCGUGAGUGAUGAAGGUCUUCGGAUCGUAAAACUCUGUUAUUAGGGAAGAACAAAUGUGUAAGUAACUAUGCACGUCUGGACGGUACCUAAGCAGAAAGCCACGGCUAACUACGU
rnacentral:rRNA from 1 species